rnacentral:rRNA from 1 species
AGCGAACGCUGGCGGCAGGCCUAACACAUGCAAGUCGAACGAACUCUUCGGAGUUAGUGGCGGACGGGUGAGUAACACGUGGGAACGUGCCUUUUGGUUCGGAAUAACUCAGGGAAACUUGUGCUAAUACCGAAUGUGCCCUUCGGGGGAAAGAUUUAUCGCCAUUAGAGCGGCCCGCGUCUGAUUAGCUAGUUGGUGAGGUAACGGCUCACCAAGGCGACGAUCAGUAGCUGGUCUGAGAGGAUGACCAGCCACACUGGGACUGAGACACGGCCCAGACUCCUACGGGAGGCAGCAGUGGGGAAUCUUGCGCAAUGGGCGAAAGCCUGACGCAGCCAUGCCGCGUGAAUGAUGAAGGUCUUAGGAUUGUAAAAUUCUUUCACCGGGGACGAUAAGGACGGUACCCGGAGAAGAAGCCCCGGCUAACUGCGU